UACGAAGGGGGGCUAGCGUUGUUCGGAAUCACUGGGCGUAAAGCGCACGUAGGCGGAUGUGCCAGUCAGGGGUGAAAUCCCGGAGCUCAACUCCGGAACUGCCUCUGAUACAGCACGUCUUGAGUUUCGAGAGAGGUGGGUGGAAUUCCUAGUGUAGAGGUGAAAAUUCGUAGAUAUUAGGAAGAACACCGGUGGCGAAGGCGGCCCACUGGCUCGAUACUGACGCUGAGGUGCGAAAAGCGUGGGGGAGCAAACAGGG
rnacentral:rRNA from 1 species